rnacentral:lncRNA from 1 species
CUUGUUGGUUAUCUGUUUUUUAUAUAGUGUAUCAGUUAAUCCCAAGCUCCUAAUGUAUCCCUCCUCUUCCUUUUCCCUUUAGUAUAUAGUUAAAUUCUUAAACAAUGCCUCCUAACAUUAAAAAAAUAUAUAUAUUUCUUGAGUCAAACCCAUCAACUUUCCUCUGACAGGAGCCCUCUAAUUGCUCAAUAGUGUGAACCCCUCUGUGCCCUAAAGCCCAGUCUUUUUGCCCUACUUAGGGCUGCAGUGGUGGGUCAUGGUGGGGUUUGGAUUUCCAGAGAGACUGUAGGUGGAAGUCCCCCGCCCCCAAACUGGUCCAAGAAAAGGUUGAACCCAGAAGAUGAGCCUUUGUGUGGAUGAUGACUUCGUUUGCCUUUAGCUGUAUUCUGAGGACUGAUGCUGAAGCUGAAACUCCAAUACUUUGGCCACCUGAUUCUAAGAGCUGACUCAUUUGACAGACCCCGAUGCUGGGGAAGAUUGAGAGCAGGAGGAGAAGGGGAUGACAGGGGAUGAGAUGGAUGGCAUCACCGACUCAAUGGACAUGAGUUUGGGUGGACUCCGGGAGUGAUGAUGGACAGGCAGGCCUGGUGUGCUGCAGUCCAUGGGGCCGCAAAGAGUCGGACACAACUGAGUGACCGAACUGAACUGAACUGAAACUCUUCCCCCACAGCUGGAUGAGCCGGGGAAGGAGGUGUGGGUGGGCAUACCUCUGGGGCUGCAGGUGGGAGUGAGUGAGCAGUGGUGGGCAACAGAAGGUAGUCCUUUCGUAUUAAUAUUUAUUCUGGGGUGUUAGAAUUCUUAAGCAAUACAUCGCCUCUCCUCAGCACUUAAUUUGGGGGAACUGAACGAUGUACCCGCCCAGAUAUCUGCCAUCAGAGCCCCACAGGCUGACCAAGUUGCCCAAGCCGCGUUUCUUUUCCCGCCCACCUGGCCCUGAGGUGGACGGCCGCAGAAAGGGUUAACGGGGGAACUGGCAGGGCCCUUGCUCUGAGGCUGCACACUCAGCUUCCAGAAGCCCAUCCGCCAAGCCCAGGACGAUUCUUCCUGACCAGCUGUGGAAGCCAGAGGGAGAGCGAGCACGGUGGGUGCUCCUUGAGGUGCUGGCAUCCCCGGAGCCCUGAAACCACAGUGGCAACGCUGGAAAAACCAGGUGUUCCUAAGGACUUAAAACUUCAUACCCAGCAG